GUACACUCCUGCGGGAGGCAGCAGUGGGGAAUUUUGGACAAUGGGCGAAAGCCUGAUCCAGCAAUGCCGCGUGAGUGAAGAAGGCCUUCGGGUUGUAACGCUCUUUUGUCAGGGAAGAAACGGUGAAAGCUAAUAUCUUUUGCUAAUGACGGUACCUGAAGAAUAAGCACCGGCUAACUACGUGCCAGCAGCCGCGGUAAUACGUAGGGUGCAAGCGUUCAUCGGAAUUACUGGGCGUAAAGCGUGCGCAGGCGGUUUUGUAAGUCUGAUGUGAAAUCCCCGGGCUCAACCUGGGAAUUGCAUUGGAGACUGCAAGGCUAGAAUCUGGCAGAGGGGGGUAGAAUUCCACGUGUAGCAGUGAAAUGCGUAGAUAUGUGGAGGAACACCGAUGGCGAAGGCAGACCCCUGGGUCAAGAUUGACGCUCAUGCACGAAAGCGUGGGGAGCAAACAGGAUUAGAUACCCGAGUAGUCCC
rnacentral:rRNA from 1 species